GCCAGCAGCCAUAUCACUCUGCAACUUACAACUGGCAACCCACUGAAGCUCAGCAGGUGUGAGCCUGGUCAGUACCUGGAUGGGAGACCUCCUGGGAGAAACUACGGUUGCUGCUGAAA
rnacentral:rRNA from 1 species